GACAGAGGGUGCAAACGUUGCUCGGAAUUACUGGGCGUAAAGCGCGUGUAGGCUGACCGGAAAGUCGGGCGUGAAAUCCCUGAGCUCAACUCAGGAACUGCACUCGAAACUCUCGGUCUAGAGUGGUGGAGAGGGAAGUGGAAUUCCUGGCGUAGAGGUGAAAUUCGUAGAUAUCAGGAGGAACACCAGUGGCGAAGGCGGCUUCCUGGACACCAACUGACGCUGAGACGCGAAAGCGUGGGGAGCAAACAGG
rnacentral:rRNA from 1 species